CUGAAUGUAACAACAAUAGAAAAGUGGUCUAAGUCUGAGAAAGAUCUCUAUAGUAAGAAGUCGGAGAAGAGAGCCACAGCGAAUGUUACGGACGUCACAGAACAGUAUGCGGAAAAGUUGAAAGAGUAUUAUGACACAAGAGCCAAGCUUGCAGAGAUCGAGG